GAAAAAUGUAUCACUGAUUAACCAGUGGAAAUUUAUUACAGCAGUUAAGAGCCCUGGGUCUGGAGCAAAACUGCUGAGGUUUGAGGCCCCGUUUUGCUGCUCACUAGCUACAUGAUCUUGGGCAAGUUAUUUAAGCUCUCUGAGCUUCAGUUUCUUCCUCUGCAGAAUGGGGAUGAAAGUGGACUACUACCUCAUGGCAUGUUUUGAGGAUGAAAUGAGCUAAUAAACACAGUCUUCAGCCCUACAUUAGGAUGGCCUAAGGAAAACAAGAAGACUGAAUGAUAUUCCCUGCUGACUUAUAUAAGUUAUUAGUCUUCUAGAAGGAUCACAAGGAACCAGCAUCAAAGAAAUGGAAUCCAGCUAAUUCCCCCAAGAAACUGAAGUUUUCGGGACAUGACUUGUGAAAGGCAAACAUAAGCUGACAUCUUUUCACACUGAACAGCAAGAGCCAAAGUGUAUCCGAAAAGCCAUUGUCAAAACAAGGAGUGAGAACAGCUGGGGUCAAGACCUAAUGAAGGGCAUCACUCAGCCUCUUUGAGCCUCGGAUUCCUCAUUUGUAAAGUGGGCAUAAUAAUACCUCACAGGGUAGUUAUGAGGGCAAAUGAGAUAAUGGACACGAAGGCACCUGUACACUCCACGGUGCUAUCAGAAUAUUGACUAUUAGUGCUUUCAUCACGCGGCUCCAUCCAAACCCCUGCUUUCCCUCACUCCAACAGGCUUUUACUCUGUCACCCAUGCUGGAGUGCAGUGGUGCAAUCUUGGCUCACUGAAACCUCUGCCUCCUGGAUUCAAGCGAUCCUCCCACCUCAGCCUCCCGAGUAGCUGGGACUACAGGCAACCUGGCGGUUCCCCGCUCCAGGGAGGUCACCCUCUUGAUGCUGAAUUUAGCACGGACACCUGAUGGGCACAGUGCACUGCAGCCCAGAGCUCCUGAGCUCAAGCCAUCCUCCUGCCUCAGCCUCCAAGUAGCCAGGACCACAGGCACGCACCCUGAGUACAGUCUUCCCAGCAAGAAGAACAUGAGUAUUCCCUCCAUCUGGGUCAAGAUUAGAGGCUGCUUUGAAGGAGCAAGGAAAAAUGUGGACUGUUCCCAAGUAUCACUGACUUUUCUGCUUAGCAUGGAAAAAUGUGUCACUUGAGUGUUUUCCUUUUCUUUCCAAGUUUUAUUUAUUUGAACUCAACAUUAUAGCAGCUACAAAAGAAAUUAUUAUAAAGAUUAAUGACCCACAAUUUAAUCACUUGGACACAACUGUUUUCUUCCUAUAUUUCUUUCCAUUCCUUAUCUAAAUGGGAAAUUAUUUUAUACAAUUGUAAUUACAGUAUAGAUGAUACUUUAAACAUUUAAACAUUACAUUAAAGACAAUUUUCUAAAUUUC
rnacentral:lncRNA from 1 species